CCCCUUCUCCCUCUCCAGUCUUCUCUGCUUCCCGUCCUCUCAUUUUUUAGGGUUUUUCCCUUUCCUCUUCUCCAUUUCGGUGCCUCCAUUUCUGCUCUUCCCUUCCCUUCCCUUCCCAGUUUCAUUUUCUUUGUUCUUCGUUUGUUGUCCAUUGUUACAUACUUGUCUUCUUUUUUCCCGAUCUUCUGAAUCUCCUCACUAUUAAUUCGUCUCUUACUCCUUGUUUGGGGAUAUGGCUACAAAGCGCCACCAAUUACAGGUUUACGCUUGGCUGCUUCCACGCCAUCUUUGGCAACAAUGAAAUGAUUGUCGGUAUUCAGAGAGACGCGAUAGUGGUGGAGCGUCAGAUGUGAAAGUCGCUGCUCAGUGUCACUUACAUGGUUUAGUUCAUCGUGAUUUGAAACCUAAG